GGAUCAAUAUAUCGGUCGUGCCUUCGGUACGUACUGGUAUCAUUGGUUUCUCCUUUCUGACGAACCAUGAUGUCAUUAAUUUGGUGUUAUGGGGAGUUAGGACUGUUACUUUGAAAAAUUAGAGUGUUUAAAGCAGGCUUUAGCUUGAAUACACUAGCAUGGAAUAAUGAAAUAGGACGUUCGAACCUAUUUUGUUGGUUUCUAGGAUCAACGUAAUGAUUAAUAGGGAUAGUUGGG
rnacentral:rRNA from 2 species